rnacentral:misc_RNA from 1 species
AACGCACAUUGCACUCUAUUUCGGUAGAGUAUGCCUGUUUGAGAAUCUAUAGUAUCAAUUUUCGAUAGUUAUUUUAGUCUUAGGACUAUUAUGCUUGAGAAAGAGUUGAGCUUUCCCUUUCAUUAGGGAUGCUUUAAAAUCAUAUAGAUCCUCUUUCUAAGAAGCCGUAUUUACGUACGCUCCAAAGUUGAGUAAAAGUGUUUGCAUGAAACCUAGUUUCUCAUUACGCCUAUUAACCAAUGAUGGAGAGAGUGUUUCUUAGAUUCUGGAGAACCAAACCCUAGGGAUUGAAUUCGUUCAAUCUCGAACCAUGGUCUCAAAUCAGGUAGGAAGACCCGCUGAACUUAA